rnacentral:rRNA from 1 species
GACGAACGCUGGCGGCGUGCUUAACACAUGCAAGUCGAACGGAAAGGCCCUGCUUUUGUGGGGUGCUCGAGUGGCGAACGGGUGAGUAACACGUGAGUAACCUGCCCUUGACUUUGGGAUAACUUCAGGAAACUGGGGCUAAUACCGGAUAGGAGCUCCUGCUGCAUGGUGGGGGUUGGAAAGUUUCGGCGGUUGGGGAUGGACUCGCGGCUUAUCAGCUUGUUGGUGGGGUAGUGGCUUACCAAGGCUUUGACGGGUAGCCGGCCUGAGAGGGUGACCGGCCACAUUGGGACUGCGAUACGGCCCAGACUCCUACGGGAGGCAGCAGUGGGGAAUAUUGCACAAUGGGCGGAAGCCUGAUGCAGCAACGCCGCGUGCGGGAUGACGGCCUUCGGGUUGUAAACCGCUUUCGCCUGUGACGAAGCGUGAGUGACGGUAAUGGGUACAGAAGCACCGGCUAACUACGUG